ensembl:snRNA U6 U6 spliceosomal RNA
AUGCUCAUUCUGGCUGCACUGACUCUAAAACUGGAACGACAGAGAUGACCAUGACCCUGUGCAAGGGUGACAUGCAAAUUCAUUUUAUUUUAAAAAUAUUU